rnacentral:ncRNA from 1 species
UAUCUGGUUGAUUCUGCCAGUAGUCAUAUGCUUGUCUCAAAGAUUAAGCCAUGCAUGUCUAAGUAUAAGCACUUUAUACUGUGAAACUGCGAAUGGCUCAUUAAAUCAGUUAUCGUUUAUUUGAUAGUACCUUACUACAUGGAUACCUGUGGUAAUUCUAGAGCUAAUACAUGCUAAAAACCUCGACUUCGGAAGGGGUGUAUUUAUUAGAUAAAAAACCAAUGCCCUUCGGGGCUCCUUGGUGAUUCAUAAUAACUUAACGAAUCGCAUGGCCUUGCGCCGGCGAUGGUUCAUUCAAAUUUCUGCCCUAUCAACUUUCGAUGGUAGGAUAGUGGCCUACCAUGGUGGCAACGGGUAACGGGGAAUUAGGGUUCGAUUCCGGAGAGGGAGCCUGAGAAACGGCUACCACAUCCAAGGAAGGCAGCAGGCGCGCAAAUUACCCAAUCCCGACACGGGGAGGUAGUGACAAUAAAUACUGAUACGGGGCUCUUUUGGGUCUCGUAAUUGGAAUGAGUACAAUCUAAAUCCCUUAACGAGGAACAAUUGGAGGGCAAGUCUGGUGCCAGCAGCCGCGGUAAUUCCAGCUCCAAUAGCGUAUAUUAAAGUUGUUGCAGUUAAAAAGCUCGUAGUUGAACCUUGGGUCUGGCUGGCCGGUCCGCCUCACCGCGAGUACUGGUCCGGCUGGACCUUUCCUUCUGGGGAACCUCAUGGCCUUCACUGGCUGUGGGGGGAACCAGGACUUUUACUGUGAAAAAUUAGAGUGUUCAAAGCAGCCUUUGCUCG